UAAUGAAAUUAAUGAAAAAUAAACGUUUGGUUCCUCAACUGCGUUGCCCCUCCAGUCAGCAGAUGGCGAUGUGCGUCUUUUAGGUUCAGGCGACGCUGCCAGUGUGACGUAUAAUCUAGUGGACGGGACGCUCCUUCAACAACAACAGUUAGACACCUCGGUAGCUUUAUAGCAAACAUAGCUACAACAUUCACUCUCUUUACACUGUUUUGGUGUAUGUUAGUCGCUGUGUAUUAAACACACUUCUGUCGUAUGUACGUGUUGGCCCAUUUAAUUAUAUAUUUACGUUGUUUGUCAGCUAGCUGGUUUGCUAAAUUAGCUUAGAGCUAGGCUAGUUGCUAAUGCUAGCUAGAGAACAUCUCCGACCAUGAGUUCACUAAGCUGCUCUCCUCCUGCUAAAGAAGAGGAGGUCUUCUGGACGGAGAAAGAAGCUCUCCUGAAAGAGGAGGAGGAAGAGAAGGAUGUUACAAUUAAAAAAACAAGUAGAGGGUGAGGCUGUUACCGUGAAAGAAGAAGAGAGACGUUUCAGUGAAAGAAAAGGAAGACUCGUUCAGAGUGAAAGAGGAGGAGGAUGUUACAGUAAAAGAAGAGGAAGCGGAGAGAGAGGAGGAUGCAGUUUAUGGAGUGAAAGAGGGGGAGGGGGAGAUGACUGUCACAUCGAUAAAGGAGGAAGAGGAAACUGGAUAUCUGGGCCCGGUUUCCCCAACGCUUCUUAAGGCAUCCUAUGGUUCUGACGGUGAACUCAGCCGUAAGAUGGUUUUGAGAAACCGGGCCGUGAUUAACAUUAACUUUGUUGUUCACACAGGAGAGAGACGUGACUAUCGUGGAUCCUCUGGGGAGCCUCAACAUCAUGAAGCUGACGAGGCAGAGAAGAGUCCCUCCCGAUCAGAACACCUCAAGAAACACCAGUGGAGGCCAACAGGGAAGAAAUCUCACUGCUGCUCUGACUGUGGGAAGAAUUACUUAAGAUCAAAUUCACUAAAAGUACACAUGGAAUUCACACUGGAGAGAAACCUUACAGCUGUGAUCAAUGUGGGAAGAGUUUUACUCAGUCAAGCAGCCUGUUAUCUCACCAGAGAACACACACAGGAGAGAAACCUUACAGCUGUUAUCAAUGUGGGAAGAGUUUUACUCAGUCAAGCAACCUGGUAUCACACCAGAGAACACACACAGGAGAGAAAUCUUAUAGUUGUGAACAAUGUGGGAAGAAUUUGACUACAUCUAGUCAUCUGAUUGUACACCAGAGAACACACCCAGGAGAGAAACCUCAUAGCUGUGGUCAAUGUGACAAGAGAUACUCUGAUAAAAGAUCUCUGAUCAAACAUCAGAAAAUACAUUAAUGAAGGAGUUGUUUCAUGAUAUCAAUGAAUUAAUGUCACAAUGUAGAAUGUUUAAACAUUGUAGUAGGAGUAUUUUAAUGAUGUCACAAUGUAGAAUGUUUAAACAUUGUAGAAGGAGUAUUUGAAUGAUGUCACAAUGUAGAAUGUUUUCACAUUGUAGUAGGAGUAUUUUAAUGAUGUCACAAUGUAGAACACUAAACUGCCCCCUGUUCAAUUGAUUUCUGCAUGAUAUGGAUAUUAGCCUCAGGGGGAAAAUCCAGGCUCUGAAUUGAAAGAGUGAUAUUUAUAUGAUAUAACAGAAAGUGACUCACACAAAAACAGCUGUGUUACACUUACAGCAUUGGUGACCCACUGGAAUCAAAAUGUAGCUAGAUGUUUUCUACAAGUUGCCCUCUAACCAGGGAGGUAAAAUAUAUCUCCCAUUUCCAUGUGUUUUUUUAGUUGUGUUAGUUUCAACAGCACCAACAACCUGAUUUCCCCCCUAAUUGAUAUCAGUGAUUUAUUGCUACUUGUCAGAACAAGUGUUUCUGGUGCUCCUGCAUUUUAAAAGGUGCUUGUUUAAGUAAUGUGAUUAUUGUUGCAGAUGUUUGUGCAGAUGGUACAUUUUAUGUUUAGGUUUUCAAUAUCACAAAUGGUUUCUGCAUAUUGGUUAUUGAUCUGGACACAUUAAAACUGUGUUUUGACAUUGGGCUGAACCACCAAGCUAAAUGUCAUUGAAAAGACGUUGAAAAGAAGACGAUACCCAACGUCCAAUAUACGUUUGGUUUUAGUUGAAGGUUUUAAAUGUUUAUUUUCAGGUUGUUGUUAAUAACGACUUGAAAACAACUUCAUUUCAAUGUUCUUACAGUUUAGACACAUUGACUGUUGUGGAAAAUAUUGAAUCAACUAUUUCACCAAACCAGAACCUGUGAAUUCAACUAGACUUUAUUACAAACAGUAACAAAGCUGAACAAUUCCAUGGAA